GCAGCUGAAAGAGAUUGCCAGUGAAACAGUGAACUUGAACCGGAGUCUGAGGCUCUGAGCAUCACCUUGCAAUAAUCUCCAGGAUAGUGGGAAGGUCCCUCUCUGUGCAUCUCAUCCUAGGGUCAAGACGAGAUGGCAUCUUCUGACAAUGGCAGACACAGAACUCUGUGCUUCUUAUUAAAGAUGAAACAGGAUUGAAGAAGCCAGCAGGGCUCUGCUCAUGAUGCUUUCUAAAGGCAGAGCAAUACAUGCUGCUUUUGUCAGCAGGAUUCAGUCCAUGCACCAGUUUAGCUCUGCUGGAUGUACCCUCAGCUCCAGCUCAUUGCUCUGGGUUCGAGGACUACCUAACCACAGGGGUUCCUGUGCUGAACAAACUGCUGAGCAGACAGGGACAGAGGGAUAUGGCACUGUGUAAGAAGCAAUAGUUUUGGGAGCAGUAACGCUAGUUUGAUACCAGGUCCCAAUCGCAUCCUGGGACACCCAGCCCUGUCCAGAGCUUAUCACAGCAGCCAUUAGAAGCUCCCAUUUGCAUUAUAAAUCAGCAAAUGCCAAUCUGAAACAUCACUUUCAAAAAUGUUUGCUCUGAAGUUGAGUGGCCAAGUCUGAAAAACAGAGCCCUUAUGUUAAGUAAAUUCUUGUACCUCACUUAAGAACGACAGCAUCUUUGUACCUUUUGGGGUGCCUUCAUUUUUAGUGGUCUGGCUUGUUGGAUGAAGAGGGAGAACCAGUAAACUCCUAGGAAGAAACGGAGGAGUAAUUUUAACCAGGUUCAGGUUAAUCUUAUUUUUAAGCAUCCAUAUUGUCAGUUCUCAUUCUUUCCAGCAGUAAAUGGAUACCACAGAAAUGUUUUUUAUUGGUGCUUGGUUCCACACAAUACUACACACAUAAGCUAAACUUCUGUUUUAUGCGCAUCUUUGUAAUUUCAUGAAAAACCAGAUUCCCAUGAGGCUGCAUUUCCAAACUGGUCCUUAGCUGAACCCUUAUUACAGUAUUUUUUAAAUACACAUGUUUUUUGAGUUGCACCGAUAAUGUUAUUUG
rnacentral:lncRNA from 1 species